UGGGGGAAUAUUGCACAAUGGGGGAAACCCUGAUGCAGCGACGCCGCGUGAGCGAAGAAGUAUUUCGGUAUGUAAAGCUCUAUCAGCAGGGAAGAAAAUGACGGUACCUGACUAAGAAGCCCCGGCUAACUACGUGCCAGCAGCCGCGGUAAUACGUAGGGGCAAGCGUUAUCCGGAUUUACUGGGUGUAAAGGGAGCGUAGACGGCAAGGCAAGUCUGAUGUGAAAGGUUGGGGCUCAACCCCGGGACUGCAUUGGAAACUGUCCUGCUGGAGUGCCGGAGAGGUAAGCGGAAUUCCUAGUGUAGCGG
rnacentral:rRNA from 1 species